UUUAGUUCAUGUUGCAGUUAUAUUUCAAUUUGUCAACCUCCAUUGGCAAUUAAUCACGAUCCUUUCUGAACAAUUUGAACUUGUUCCAAGGUUUUAGUACAAAUAUCUAUACGAGAAUGUAAAUCAGAAGCAUUUAGUAAGUUCCUUGUUUUUACUGCAGCAUGGAUGCAAAGGUUUUGUGGCGUAGCAGCUCUACUGUCUUGUUUUUGCUGGUGUUCAUAUUUUGUAUUUGUAUCCCCGACUUCCUAUGGGAGCACAUGUAACAGAAGGGUUGAAUUGUAAUUUAAAAUUUUUUGUAAACUUUUUCGUAAGAACUCAACUAUCAUAUGUAUGUUAAAAACGAGGAAACACAGUUUUUGUAAAAGCAAGGAGACACAUAUAUGCGAUACUUAUCAGACUGAAAAACUUGUUUUCAAAAGAAAUCAAAUGUCAACCCUCAGUCAAUUAGUAUAUAAAGUAGAUAAAGAGAGAAGCAUAUGUACAAAGAGUUUUAUACCGGUUCGUUUCUACCACUAAGACUAAGUCGAGUUCUUGGAAACCAACCAAGUUUAUACUAUCUUUUAACAAAGAUACAUUUAUUUUUCAUUAUCACUUCUGGCUCUUACACAAAACUUAUCCUCAAGCUUUCUACAACCCAAGUAUUAUUUUUUACCAAGCCACUUCUAGUUGUAAAUAAGUCAGCAAAUUUUUUGAAGGUUAAGUGCACACAAACAAGGCUAUCAUUUUAUAGACGAAUAUCUGACUUAAGCACAAUUUUGUUCUACUCUCAGGAUUUACAACAUAUUUUGAGAGUUUUUAUAACUUAGAAUUUAUUUAAAAAGGGCUUGAAGGUAGGAGAGAAUGCUUUAUUCAAAAGUUUGUGUUCUUCAAAAACUUCUAGUGUUUAUAGACUUCUUCAACAUGUAAUCAUUAUCUCUAAACGGUCUUCAAAAUGAGUCUGAUCUUUCAUCAGAAGAAGGUGUAUGUUGGUGCAUUAAAUGUGUGUUUGUUCCUUGCUAAUACACCAAUCUGCUGUAGCUAGCUUCAAUAGUCAAAUCAACUUUAGCAUUCAAAGCAAGUUUGUACAAUAGGUGCAAUAGUUUACACAUCUUUUUAGCUAGAGAGAGAGUUUAUUUCUGAUUGUUUCUCUUGUUAUCUUUACUUCGACAGAUCCUAGGAAGGAUGUUGGAACAUUCUUUGAAAAUGGAAUCACAAACACAAAGCAUUAACUCAGUCUUAAAUGUUUUUCACAUCUUAGUGUUUAUAUGCUAUCAUCUGAUCCAUUAGAUAUAGAUACAUUGCUUUCUUCUAUUGGCAUAUAAGAUGCAAAUUUUUUAUCUUAGUACUUAUUUGCAUCUAAUCAAAAUUAUUGAGGGUUCUAAUUUGUCUUAUGACUCAAAAGUGUUAUUAACAUAGAAAUGUGAUUUAGGAUUUUGAUUACAUGUGAAGAGGUAUUAUGAAGUUCAACCCCAAUGAUAUCUAUUUCAUCGUUUACCUUAAAGUUCACAUGUUCACCAAUUGUUCAAUAAAUUUCUAAAUAAAAUUUACUUGUUAUCUAUUACAAUUAAAAAAAGUAUGUUUAGUACGAACACUUGUCAUCAUCAUCUCCUUAAAAAAAUUUCCACCUAAAAUCUCCUUUUUUACUAGGAACCAAAACAACCUUUUUCAGCUUCUAAAUUUUCAUGUCUUUUUAUUUUAAAAAAUAAAUAAUAAAUAAAAACAUAUCAUAAACCACUUUGUGCACUAGUUUCAUGCUAGACUAGAUUCAAAAUUCAAUUUUGAAUAUGUUUCUUCUUUCUCUCACUCAUUCAAUCACCCAUUCAUGUUAUUUCUUCUUCUUCCCUCCUCCCAUCUUCCCUUUCUUCUUUCCAUAAUUGUUGAUUGUUGGAUGAUAGCAAUAGAGACAGGGUAGAUGAUAGUGGUCAUCUGGUCCAGUAGUCUUGUCUUUUGACACCAACUAUGGUAUCGAAAGUUGCAAACAAACAAUAAACUCGCCUCACCUAUAUAUAUCUCUCUGUUAGUUCCUUGUGGCGUUACUCAGAGAUCUCUUAGGUUCAUGUUUGUUCGUCUAAACGCAGAGCUCUAUGUACCAAAUCAAAGACAAUUUGGUAUAGAUUUCAAAGACAAAAUUAAUAUUAACUUUUGGGGUCAAAUACCCAUUCAAUUUAAAAAGGGGCUAAAGGGGUGUUUUGAGAUUCACAUCAAAGAGACGUCAUUUUGAAAUUUCGAUCAUGCCACUAUGACCAGGGUUGAGCGAAAGUUACAAAAAUGAAUUAUAUUUUAUAAAAAGACAACUUUUACAACAUCUCAUUUUCAAGGGUUUUUCAAAGGAAGUGUAAAAACAUCCAAUAACGGUACCCAAGUCACAACAUAUGCAUAUAUAGGCUCAAACUAAUUAGGAGAAGGCUUAGAAAUCAUGAUUACCUUGAAGAAAUCAGGAAGGGAGGAUUGGAGUCUCCGUUCUCUACCGAAUCCUCAAGUUGAGUUUUGAAUAUUCCGCUCCAAUUAAAUUGUUCUUCUUCGUGUGGUGGUCUGGCGGCAAGCAACGACAGCUUGUAGCGGUCACCAAUGGUCGACGAUGGUGGAGGAGUAGGUUGGGGGUGUUGGGUGAGGGUUUUGGGGAGAAAAAUGUGUGUUUUAUGUUGUUAGACGUAUUUUUAGCAUGCAAGACUUGCCCGAGCAAAAUUUGGCUGGCCUGGGAGAGUUGACCUAACUCAGACUCGCCUUGGAGAGUUUUGGGUGAAUUCUUCUCCAACAUAUUUUUAUUGCUUUUGUGCAAAGGUCAUAUCUCAUACUCUAGAUGUUAUUUUGAAAAUAUGAAGCCUACAGUCCAACAGUUAACAAAUCCAAGUUCAUGGUUUUCAUCGAAACAGGUUUUGGGUCAAUCUCGAAAUCACACAAUUCCAACACAGAUCAAUCAAACUACACAUAACCUAAUAUCUACACCAAGCAGUUGCACAAGGAAAAUUCACACAACACUUCACUAAUCCAAAUUAAUCAAGUAAUAAAAUAAUACAAGAAAUGCAUCAAUCAUCUAUUUUUAGUUAUUGAAAUUUUAGGGCAUUACACUGAGCACAAUUCCUCUUGUGCUGAGCGCAACAUUUCGCGUUGGGGGCAAUUCCUCCUCGGGUCGGCAUUGCGCUUAGCAUGCGCUAAGUGAGAUGUCAAAAAGUGUUAUUUUGAAAAUCCCAAUAGUCAAACCGUGAGGACUUGGGUUGCUAACCUACAUUCCAAAUCUAAAGGUGAUCCAAUGGUUAACGUGUCUAGGAUCGCAGUUUUACUGGAACAGGUUUAGGUAAAACUUGAAAUCUCAUAAUUUGAACCUAUGUAAAUACAACUCCAUAUAAGUCAACAUCCACAUCAAGAAAAUCACACAUGGCUAGUUCACACAACAGCUCAACUCAUUCAAAUCAAUCAAAUAAUCAAAUAACAUAAGAAAAUAUAUUAAACAUCGAUUUAAAGUUGGUUAAAUUUUUGGGCGUUACAUAUCAGGCUAAUCCUAAGGAAUCUCACUUAACAAUUGUCAAAAAGAUCAUUAAGUACCUGUCGCAACCUACCUUACGACAGAACAAUGAAAGAAAAUAAAUAAAAUAAAAGGCACGUUCAUUUCCCAAGGAGAAAACGAGUCGAAGUCACCACCAACGUUUAUUUAAGGAAAAUGUUAGAAAAAUCAAAAAGAGGUCUGCAAAUUUUGAAAAGAAGGGUUCAGGAGUUGUUUACGCAUAGGGAAGGUAUUAGCACCCCAUGCGCCUGUCACAAGGGACGACAACAUUUAAUCAAGUGUGCAAAAUGUGACCUUAUUUAUUUUCCCUUUUUUAUUAUUAUAUUUUUUGAAUUGACAAGGGUGUUGGUCUUGCUCCUACGUAUCCCUAGGUGUAAUGAGGAAAUCAGAUAUACAUAGUUCUUUAGUAGAAAUGUUUUUUAAAGAUUUAUUUUAAUUGCAAACAAAGAGUCGUUAUAAGACGUUGGAUCUUGAAACGAUGUUUUAAAUUUUGAAAAGCGGAGAGAAUCAUUAAGGUGUUGGAUCUUGAAAUGAUCUCAAGUGAUAUUUGAUGAAAGAAGUUGGAUUAUGAAUUGAUUUUUUUUUCAUUUUUGUUGUGUUUUUUACCUUACAGUCUCACUAAAAAAACAAUUGUUAUGACAUUAGUGAUCGACAAGAAUUAAGCCUUACAAAUAAAAUAAAAUUACCAAUGAUAAGUGGAGAAGAUAAAUGUACACAUAAUAUCACAAAGGACCCAUAAGGGUACACAGAUUACAUCAAAAUCUUAAAAAAAACUAACCAACUAUUGCACAUGGUACAAGACUAGCAAGAGAAAGGAUGUAGGAAAUGAUCCACGGUUCGAUUCAGCGAUGCCUCGGCUUUGCUUUUUUUUCCUUUUUCUCUUUCUCCCUGUGUUUUUUCUUUUGUUCCUUCAAUUGCCUGCCCCUCAACCCUUCCCCCUGCAUGGCUAUUUAUAGAAAAAGCCAUUUGGUGCAGGGGAAGCUCGCCCAGGCGAUCUGGUUGCUUCAGGAUGAAGGCAUUCCAUAACCCAGGCGAGCUAGAUGUUGGCCUGGGCGAGCUCAGGCCUAGAAAAAUCCAAAAAUGGCCAUUUUCCCCCCUUUCUUUGUAGUUUUUGUUCCCAGAUAUGACAAUCAAACAUCAACUUGAGCGAUCCCUUGACCUUGCACUACAAUCGAUGCUAAAAAAUGUAAUUCGAUUAGCAAUGAUCAAAACGUCAUAUCCGAAUGAUAAAACAUUAAACCUAGAUGAAAUUAGGGUUUAACAGUACCCUAAAGGUACAACCAAUGUAGGUUUGUGAUAUCCCUAAGGUACCUCCUUAAAUCUAACAACCUUUUUAGACUUUGAUUUUGUAGGUUGCAAAUUAGAUUGAAAAAGCACACCUAUUAGGAAGCUUUCUUGUGUCUUAGAAUUGCAAGAAACAAACUUUUGUAGCAGUUUCAAUUCUAGAAGUUGAAUAUAUUGCAGCUGGAAGUUGUUGUGCUCAAAGUCGCUAGAUGAAGCAACAACUUGAAGACUUUGGAAUAAACCUUGAUCACAUUCCUCUAAAACGUGACAACACAAGUGCAAUCAAUCUAACUAAAAUCUUGUCAUUCAUUCUAGGACUAAAGACAUAGAAAUAAGGCAUCAUUUUCUUAGAGAUUGUGUUUUAAAUGGUGCUUGCUGCAUUGAGUUCAUAGAUAGUGAGCAUCAACUACUAGACAUAUUCACUAAACCACUUGCUAGAGAUAGGUUCUUCUUCAUUAGAAAUGAACUAGGCAUCUUAGAUGGAUCUAGCAUUGAAUGACAUUUUGUUUAGUUCAUAUCAUUUGUUGCUUAUUGCAAUCUUUGUCUCUUGAUUUCUCUUGAAAUGUCUUAGUUUGUUGAUAUGUGUGUUAAGUGUGUGAUCAAUUUUUCAAAACUUCUUGUUUUAAUCGAUUACACCAUGAUUUAAUCGAUUAUCAUUGCUUUGUAUUUGUUAUCAGUUUUGAAAAUCUUCUAUUUUAAUCGAUUACCUCGUGUUUUAAUCAAUUACCGUUUUUUGAGUUUGUGGUGUUUUGGUUCAUAUUUGUCUAUUUUAAUCGAUUACUUGUUUGUUUAAUCAAUUACAUGCCUAUAUGUAUGACUUUUGUGUGGAUUUCGUUCUAUUUUAUUCGAUUAGUUAACAUUUUAAUCGAUUACCAUGGCCUCAGGGGAAGUUUUUUUGGCAUAUUUAAUCAAUUACGCUUGUGUUUUAAUCGAUUACUUAUAGAAGCUUUUGGUUUUAAGUGAAAAUGAGGGUCAAUUUAAUCAAUUACUAUGUCAUUUUAAUCAAUUACUUAUGUGUCUGUUGCAUGUAAUCCGUUACAUUUCUUCAUCUUCACCUCAUUAACCACCAUUAUUCCUACAUUUACUCCCACCACCAACCUUAACCAACUAGAACAUCACUACCUCUCUAUAAAAGACAACCCUAACCCCUUUCACAAGUUACACCAACACUUCCUCUAAUUAGCCAUUUUUGAACCCAACAUUUCUUCUACGCCCAAACUCUAUUUCUCUUCUAAAAAAUGGCUAGCAACCCUUCCAGAGCUCAGAAGAAAGCCAAGUCCUCCAAGAGGAAACAAGGAGAGUGCUCUCGAUCCACUCUCAAUAGGCUUGAUACAUGGUUUAUAGAUGAGAGUAAGAAGAACAACUUCAAGAUGAUAUACAGUGUGAAGAAUUUGAGAAUACCCAAGUAUUUGGACUUGGAGUGGUUCUCCCAGCAAGGGUUUAGCUUCCCUUAUUUGCUUGAAGCAUAGGGUCUAUCCAAGCUUGUGUAGAUGAAAGGAACUUUUUAUCCAGGGCUGGUGAAAGUCUUUUAUACUUGUGCUCGCGUCAAUUUUGAAGAUAAUCUUUUUUCUACAUUUAAUGGAGUAGAAAUGAUUAUCAACGCUGAAGUUUAGAAGGCAGUAGUUGGACUGGACAUGGGUGGAGUCCACAAGUUUGAAGAAUCUACUGAUGGUUACAGCAAGAUGCAAACUUACAAAGGUAUGCUCCUUGACCCAGCAAGGAAUAUGAGGAAUUGCCUAGGUGUAGGUGAUUUGACUAUUGAAGAUAGAAUGCUUGUGUACCUCAUAACCUACAUUCUCACACCGAGGUCUUGUAAUUACACACAGGUGACUGAUGAUGAUUUACAUAUUGUGUUUGGUCUAAAAUCAGGUAUUAAGAUGAUCUGGAUACUUUUGAUUGAAGAUAUCAUGUUGAAGAGCCCUCGGUUAGUCGAUUAUGAGUUUUCGUAUGUUGUGCUGGCCUUAAGAUUCAUUGAUUAUUUUAAUAUCGAUGACUCUAAUGAGAUAGUAGACUUCACCAAAGCAUUUAGUGAGAUAACCAAAAGGCAUCUCAAAAUGCUUGGGAUGAGGUUUGUUGAACAUGAAUGGAUCAUGGCUAGAGAGCCACCAGCAAUAGCAAACAUGGACCAAAUGGAAGAAGAAGCAGAAGCUGAAGCUCAGCAAGAGCCUGCGCAACAAUGAAGUCCUUUUGAGUCUCUUAUGAUGUCAUGCUUCACCUCCAUCUAGAGCACUCAGCUAAUGUUCACAAUACUUUGGAGAAUAUCACAACUCGGUGGGAGAACAUAGAAACUAGGCUAACCCUUAGAAACCUCCUUAACCUAGAUGAGAAUGAGGCGUAGUUGUGUUUCUGUGCUUGGUUUUACUGUUUGUUGGUCUAUUUUGUUAUGUUUGUUUUUGUUUGAUAAAAAUUAAGUGUUUGUUUAGAAAGCUCUAUGAUUAAUGAUUUGUAAUGUUUCAUGAUUAAUGAAAUGCUAUGAUUUAUUUCCCUUCAAUUUUUUUGUGUUUUGUUUUGUGUAUAAGUUCAAACUUUUUGGCCUUGUUAAUGCCAAAAAGGGGAGAUGAACUGCAUAUUUGCUUGCAUUGCAUAAGCAUUUGGAAAGAACCAGUUUAUUGCUUUUAUUGUUUGCAUUUGCAUUAGCAUUAGUGAAAUUAUAAAGUAAGAUAUAUGAUGAUGAUGAUGAUGAUGGUGAUAUUAAUUUAUCUUUUCUUAAGUGUUAAGUUUUUUCAUGAUUGACUUAAACUUGAAGAUUGGAGAAGAGCUCGAAGCUAGGAGAAGAGCUUGAAGAUGUUGAAGAUAUGGGGAACAUCAUGAAGACUUAAGCUUGAAGCUUAGAGAAGAGCUUGAAGAUGUUUUGUCUUUUACAUGCCCAACUCACUUGAGUGGCAUUUGUAUUGGUUGUUAUAUUGAAUGUUGCAUCUUAGUCCACAUCAUAUCAUUUAUGCAUCAUGUAUCAUCAUAAGUGAGUGAGAAGAAAAUUUCUAAAGUUAGAAAAAUUCUUCAGAAGGCAAAACUCUCUGUUUCAAUCAAUUACAUCAUUAUCAUAAUCGAUUACACAAAAUUGUUUUUGAGACAAUGAAUGAUUUAUUCAGGAGUCUUUGCUCUAAUCGAUUAUCACGUGAUAUAAUUGAUUACUUCUCUUUCUUUAAGUAUUUCAGAAGUGAACAAGAACACUUAAGUCAAUUACUUUGAGUAUCUAAUUGAGUACAUUGUUCUUAAGUUGUUUCUAGUUUUUGGAAGAACACUUUAAUCGAUUAAAAAGAUAAUCUAAUCAAUUACUUCAUUGAAUUAAUCGAUUACCUUGUAGAUUUAAUUGAUUAUAAGCGGUUAUAACUUUUUUCUCUAUAAAUAAUCACCUUGUGUUCUCUUCAAAACAACAACGAAAACACAAUAUUUGGAGCUUCUAUUUGAGCUAAGAACAAGUGUUGUUGUUAGUCAAAGAAAGAAGAGAAGAAAAAUGCUUAGAAAUAGUAACUCACAACUUCAAAUCUUUUUAUUAUGAAGAUCUUUUUGUGAUUAGUGAGUUGUGUUACUUUCUUGAAUUCAAGAAGCCAUCUUAUUCAGUCAAGCAAGGUUUUACGGAAAAGAUUGAUCAGGUCAUGUCUAUCUUUGACUCUAGUUUUUUGUGUAUGGUUUUACACAUCUCUUCUUUGUGCAUGAAUUUCUGAAGGCAUGCUAGAAUGAAUGUUUCUAGUUUGGGUUAUUGAUUUUCAUUCUAUUUUCGACACUUAAUGUUAUUCUUGCCAAUGAUAUGGUGCACACACUAUAUAGGUUCUUUGGCUCAAGCCUUUUUCAGCAUACAUACAAUUUGAGGUUUUAGCUCUAAUUUAUUCUCAGUUUUCUUCUUUCACUCUGUGAUCUGCUCUCUCUUUUUUUUUAAUUCUAAUUUAUUCCAACAAUUUCUCUUUUAUAUGGCUGGUGGUUUCUCGCAUUUUCUCCUGGAUUGGUUCUAGCGUUUUCUUGCUCGCUACUACUAAUAUAGGUAAAAAUAAUACUCUUUUUUUCCCCUUCUGCAAACUUUGAAUGACAAUAAGUGAAAGGAAACAUAAGAUUUUAAGAGUUGUUUGUUAGAAAUUGCAGUUUCCCUAAAGAAGAUGGAUUUCGAAUAUGUAAGAUUUUUCCGUUUUUUUUUUGGUUGAUGUGAUUUUUAUUAGUUCUCUUCACAACUACAAAAAGAAGCUUCUACAUCGGUUGAAAACGGGUAUCUACGACGGGCCCCACACCGUCUUUGUUCCAGAUGUCGUUGUAUGUGGACAACAACGACAUCGGUCAUACUAGGACCCAUCUUUGUAAUGUUAGAAUACAACGUCAGUGCCUAUAUAACAAUAGACGUUAUAAAAAAUGAUUCGACGAUGCACAUGGUGAAGAACCCGUCGUUGUUGUGGUCCAUUUCAACGUCGGGUACGCGAAGACCCAUCGUUGUUGUGGUCCAUUUCAACGUCGGGUACACGAAGGCUCGUCGUUGUUGUGGUCUAGUUCAACGUCGGGUACGCCUAACACUUGUAUUUGUUGGGUUUUCUUUCAACAUCGGCGGCGUGUUCACCCGUCGUUGUUUGAUAGUAUGUCAACAUCGGUGGUGAGUACACCGUCGUUGUUCUUCGAAGUUUCAACGACGGGUUUUUAUAAGGACCGUCGUUGAAGUAGUUCCCCUGCUCACAAAAUUUGGGUUAUACCAUUCAAAUUUCAAAAACAAAGCUACACUUUGGUUAUCAGUUAUAAGGAACAAACAAAUAUUACUCACAUGUUGUUCACAUCUCCAAGAUUCAGACAACAACAAACAUUGUAUGUGCCACUCACCUUGGAAAUUGAAUUAUGUGCCACUGCUGCACUACCUUUUAUCAAAACCUAUAUGUAGCAUACAUUAUAUGUUGAACGAUAAAGACAUCAUUCAUGAUUAAAACCUAAGUUGCAAGUCCACCCUUAACCCAGCCCUUCUAAAUUAUCAGUAUCCAAUUAAAAUCAUUUUGAAAUUCAGAACUUGGCAGUAUGUGAUAUACAUAUAAAUAGUAAUAACAACGAGAGGGAGGGCAGGGACCAAAAGCAGACCCAAUGAUCAAGCCCUAUGGAAUAACACGUCCUUGAAAAUAAUUAACAUGUGCUAUAAUACCGUUACUGCUAGUCUAACCCUCAGUCCAUAAUCAUAUCUUAGAACUAACAGACUCAGACCAAAGUUUAAUGAUGCUUCUGAUAGAAAACAAGGCAGCAAGUAGGGUUCACCGCGAAUAUUGAGAAGAUAGAUAGAACAUACCUGUAUACAACUGCGUUGAACCAUUGCUAUUCAUAGAAAUUGUUACUAGUCUUCUGUCUUGGCCCAAAGAUAAAAUUUGCAUCCUUUCAGGC
rnacentral:lncRNA from 1 species